rnacentral:rRNA from 1 species
UAGAUACCCUGGUAGUCCACGCUGUAAACUAUGUUCACUCGCUGUUUGCGAUAUACAGUAAGCGGCUAAGCGAAAGCAUUAAGUGAACCACCUGGGGAGUACGAUCGCAAGUUUGAAACUCAAAGGAAUUGACGGGGGCCCGCACAAGCGGAGGAACAUGUGGUUUAAUUCGAUGAUACGCGAGGAACCUUACCUGGGCUUAAAUGUAGAUUGCAUAAACCGGAGACGGUUUUUUCCUUCGGGACUAUUUACAAGGUGCUGCAUGGUUGUCGUCAGCUCGUGCCGUGAGGUGUCGGGUUAAGUCCCAUAACGAGCGCAACCCUUACCGUUAGUUGCCAACAGGUAAAGCUGGGGACUCUGGCGGGACUGCCACCGUAAGGUGAGAGGAAGGUGGGGAUGACGUCAAAUCAGCACGGCCCUUAUGUCCAGGGCUACACACGUGUUACAAUGGUCGGUACAAAAGGCAGCUACUCUGUGAAGGGAUGCUAAUCCUUAAAGCCGGUCUCAGUUCGGAUUGGAGUCUGCAACCCGACUUCAUGAAGUUGGAUUCGCUAGUAAUCGCGCAUCAGCCAUGGCGCGGUGAAUACGUUCCCGGGCCUUGUACACACCGCCCGUCAAACCAUGGGAGCUGGGGGUGCCUGAAGUCUGUGAUCCUGAGUAAUUGGGAAGCGGCCUAGGGUAAAACCAGUGACUGGGGUUAAGUCGUAACAAGGUAACCAAGGGCGAA